UAUAUCUGUUUAAUAGUGGCAGUAAAAAUUAACACUAGUAUAACUGCAUAGAUAUAGUCUAGUUAAAUAGUUUUAAUAGAUAUAAUACGUUUUUAGCAGUGAGUUUUUGUUUAUUUCGCGUAAGCGAGAACAAGGUAUAGUGUGUGGGGGGAUUAGUCACAGUGCCAGCAUCCGCGGUUAUUCUGUCCCCCGUAAUUUUUAGAUAUUUUAGUAAAACCAAUAGGUUUAAAUUAAAUGGGGUAAAAUCUUUAAUUUAAUAGAAUUGUUUGGUUUAAUAUACUUUUACUUGUUUAUGUGAUGUAGAUUAGAUACCUAUGUAACACAAGGUAAGCAUAUAUUAGAUUUAGUUAAACUAAAACUAUUUGGCAGCCAAUUAAUCCUGACAGGGGAUGGUGUUUAGUAAGAGAUAAUCCACUAAAGUAAUUUACUAAGUUUAAUUAGUUGGUGUACGUCCGGUUUAAAACUAGUAAUUAAAAUUAAUGAUUAGUGUUAAUAUUUUUAUUUAAGCCAGGUCUAUGUGCUAUUAAUAGCUUAGUUAAUAAUGCCAUACUGUUAUAACUAAAUGUAAAAAUUUAUUUAGGACUUGUUAGUAAAAGGAAGUAAGUGAGUUCCUUUGAAGGGGGUUUAGUUGGGGUACACACCGCCCGUCAAUCUCGGUUUUUCUGAGAUAAGUCGUAACAUGGUAGCCCCCGGGGAACCGGGGGCUAGUAGUUUAGGUUACUUUUUUGUAUUCUUAACUAAGU
rnacentral:ncRNA from 1 species